CCCGCAACGAGCGCAACCCUUAAGCUUAGUUGCCAUCAUUAAGUUGGGCACUCUAAGUUGACUGCCGGUGACAAAUCGGAGGAAGGUGGGGAUGACGUCAAAUCAUCAUGCCCCUUAUGAUUUGGGCUACACACGUGCUACAAUGGACAAUACAAAGGGCAGCGAAACCGCGAGGUCAAGCAAAUCCCAUAAAGUUGUUCUCAGUUCGGAUUGUAGUCUGCAACUCGACUACAUGAAGCUGGAAUCGCUAGUAAUCGUAGAUCAGCAUGCCACGGUGAAUACGUUCCCGGGUCUUGUACACACCGCCCGUCAC
rnacentral:rRNA from 1 species